GCCUCUGUGGUGGAAUUGGCAGACGCGGCAGACUCAAAAUCUGCUGUCCUUUGCGGGACGUGCCGGUUCGACCCCGGCCAGAGGCACCA
rnacentral:tRNA from 1 species